rnacentral:rRNA from 1 species
UGAGGAAUAUUGGUCAAUGGGGGCAACCCUGAACCAGCCAAGUCGCGUGAAGGAUGAAGGUCUUAUGGAUUGUAAACUUCUUUUAUACAGGAAUAAAUUGGGGGACGUGUCCCCUUUUGCGUGUACUGUAUGAAUAAGGAUCGGCUAACUCCGUGCCAGCAGCCGCGGUAAUACGGAGGAUCCGAGCGUUAUCCGGAUUUAUUGGGUUUAAAGGGUGCGCAGGCGGGAUGUUAAGUCGGCGGUGAAAUUUUGCAGCUCAACUGUAAAAGUGCCUUCGAUACUGGCCUCCUUGAGUGUGGAUGAAGUAGGCGGAAUUUGUGGUGUAGCGGUGAAAUGCUUAGAUAUCACGAGGAACUCCGAUUGCGCAGGCAGCUUACUAAGCCACAACUGACGCUCAUGCACGAAGGCGUGGGGAUCAAACA